GGACCCCGAGUGCUCCUACUCAGUAGGAGCUGUCCAGUUGUCUAAAAAACAACCGUUAGCAAGAGCCGGGCAAGACCGGUGCCAGCCGCCGCGGUAACACCGGCGGCUCGAGUGGUGACCGUUAUUAUUGGGUCUAAAGGGUCCGUAGCUGGCUUAAUAAGUUCUUUGGGAAAUCUGGCGGCUUAACCGUCAGGCUGCUGAGGAAUACUAUUAGGCUCGAGACCGGGAGGGGCUAGAGGUACUUCAGGGGUAGGAGUGAAAUCCUGUAAUCCUUGAGAGACCACCAGUGGCGAAGGCGUCUAGCUAGAACGGGUCUGACAGUGAGGGACGAAAGCUAGGGUCGCGAACCGGAUUAGAUACCCGGGUAGUCCUAGCCGUAAACGAUGCGAGCUAUGUAUCAGUUUCACUGCGAGUGAAAUUGGUGCCGUAGAGAAGUCGUGAAGCUCGCCACCUGGGAAGUACGGCCGCAAGGCUGAAACUUAAAGGAAUUGGCGGGGGAGCACUACAAUGGGUGGAGCCUGCGGUUCAAUUGGAUUCAACGCCGNA
rnacentral:rRNA from 1 species